GUCAGAAUGGCCGAGCGGUCUAAGGCGCCAGACUCAAGGUUCAAUACCUUCCUCAUAGCUGAGUCUUCUGGUCUCCAGUUGGAGGCGUGGGUUCAAAUCCCACUUCUGACA
rnacentral:tRNA from 1 species